AAGUCAUGGUUUAGCUGAACUAAUGGUCGAGUGAAUCCUUCCAACAGUGGUGUGCCUUUCAACCAACAGAAGGAGCAUGGCUCUUCCAUUGAAUGAUGGGUCCCUGGAUAUGUCUAGCCUUGUUUCAACUUGACAAAACCAAGCCAGGCCAGCAUCAAAUGGGAGAUAAAGGUCUGGGACAGCGGCCAGUCAUCUCCCGAAUCUGUGCCCUGUGCUUUGUUCCAGGAUCACCAGCAAGAAGCAAGUGCACCUUGACAGAAAGGAUGGCCACACAUAAUUAAACAGAGAGAAGGAAGAGGAGGAGGACAAUGACAAUGACAAUGAUGAAGAAGGCGAUGAGGAUGAGGACUCCAGACGACAGAACUGGGCAUGUCAUGAGGUUCUACCUUAUUUUGUUGUUGUUGUUUGUUUGUUUUGUUUUACUUUGUUAUGUGCACCUUUGAUAGGUGUCCCAUUGGACACAUUUUCCUGCUGUGCUGAUGCGACAGCGUCCCCUCGCAUGCAUCUAUGAGGGCUAGAUGGCCUCCUGACAGCCCUGGGACUCAGGAAACAUGAUGAAUGUAAAAUGCCAAGCACAGCCUCUGUGACCUGGAACUUAUAAGCAUGAGAAAACUCAGGAUGGAUUGCCGCCGUUCCACAGUGCCUCUGGGACAGCAAGAUGCUUAAGAACAGGUUCUGACAUCAUUUCAUCCCAUUUUUCUCUAUGGAGAAAGCUCCCAGUUCAUACUUGCCCCGUACCUUGAGGCGGUGAGGCAAGUUACAAGCAACCCCAAUUAUAAUGACAAUAAACACUUAAGCAGGUCGAGACCAAGGCACUGGAGUUGAACCUGCGGGAUGAGAAUUUCACACCAUUGCUGAUUCAUUCCAUGCAUCACCCCAACAGGAGAAACUCUUUGUUGGCUCUACCACCGAGGCCUCCUGAAGUUAGAGAGCUGGCUUUUUGAAGAUGAUCUUAAAGAAUGUGUCCAUUUCGUCUCUCGAAGUUACAGCGGUUUCCUUGGGAAAUGAUUCAACCUCGAUCCUUUUUCUUGAUCAUGUUGUGCCCUAAAACUUUUGGUGGAGAAUUCAUUCUAUAGGGGCAGAACUGUGUCUGCCUCAGUCAGACUCAAAUCGUGUGUAUAGACAAUGCCUUGGGUGCUCUGGAUAGAACAGAUUUUUCAUAUUAUAAUGUGUUCACACCAUGCUUAAACAA